GACCGCUCAGGUGGCCUAGUGGUAAGAGCGUCUGCCUAGAAUGCGGGAGGUCGUGGAUUGGAUCCCUUGCAGAGUCA